AGAGUUUGAUCCUGGCUCAGGAUGAACGCUAGCUACAGGCUUAACACAUGCAAGUCGCGGGGCAGCAUGAAUUUAGCUUGCUAAAUUUGAUGGCGACCGGCGCACGGGUGAGUAACGCGUAUCCAACCUUCCCUUAUCCACGGGAUAGCCCGUCGAAAGGCGGAUUAAUACCGUAUGAGGUCAUUUGAUGGCAUCUGAUUAUGACGAAAGGUUUAGCGGAUAAGGAUGGGGAUGCGUCCGAUUAGCUUGUUGGCGGGGUAACGGCCCACCAAGGCGACGAUCGGUAGGGGUUCUGAGAGGAAGGUCCCCCACAUUGGAACUGAGACACGGUCCAAACUCCUACGGGAGGCAGCAGUGAGGAAUAUUGGUCAAUGGGCGAGAGCCUGAACCAGCCAAGUAGCGUGCAGGACGACGGCCCUAUGGGUUGUAAACUGCUUUUAUGCGGGGAUAAAGUGGGGGAUGCAUCCCUUUUUGCA
rnacentral:rRNA from 1 species